CAUGGGGACGAGCAUGGAGCUGGAGCAUGGAUCAUGGCGGCUACUGCCCGCUAGGCCGCGGCACAAAUACAAUCCCUCGACAUCCGCCGACAUGGUGAAAGUCCGUCCAAGAUUCCAAACAAGCACAAAUUGUCUCCUUGAACCUCAAGCCAAUCGAUAAGGCGAAAGAGUUGAAACAACAGAACAGACUCGCACGUGGGAAGAAACCAGAGCACCUAGAGGAAACUCACCCUGUCAUAAGGAGAACGUGCAAGCUCCACAUAGACGGCACCCAAAGUCGGGAUUGAACCUGGGUCUCUUGCGCAAUGAGGCAGCACCUCUACCACCUGCGCCACUGUGACGCCCUGUAUUUGGCUUUGUUGACCAGCCUCAAACUUUGGAAGGGAAAUCCAGCAAAAUGCAGCUUAGUCGAGUAGGUGAAAGUCCAUCCAAGAUUCCAAACAAGCACAAAUUGUCUCCUUGAACCUCAAGCCAAUCAAUAAGGCGAAAGAGUUGAAACAACAGAACAGUAGGUGAAAGUCCGUCCAAGACUCCAAACAAGCACAAAUUGUCUCCUUGAACCUCAAGCCAAUCAAUAAGGCGAAAGAGUUGAAACAACAGAACAGUGGGUGAAAAUCCAUCUUGGUCUCCAAACAGCACAAAUUAUCACCUUGAAACAGGCCAAUCGAUGAGUGGAAUGAGUUACAUCAACGUACCAUGUUCAUGUUGAGAAAGGGUUGCUAAAAUAAGGAACACACAACUCACUAAAAUUAUGAGUGCCAAGGAAAGGGAUUAUCAUAAUACAGAAGGAAGUGGAUGAAAAUCGCAUUGUCAACCUCAUUGCCUCAGUGCAGUGUAACAAAGGAGAAGGAUGAUCUGAUGAUCUGCUCAGGCAAAACUGAUGCACAGCACAAGGACUGGAAGGGGUGUUCCCUUUAAAGAAAUGAGUAGAACAGCAGUUGGACAUCUGCCGGCUCCGCAAUAUCUGGUGUGCAAGUAAACAUUGCGUUGAGAGGUUCACAGUAAUCCCUUCAUACAGUGCUGAGAGAGACAGCGGGCAAUGGACACCUAGGAAUUGUGGCUUCAUCAUUAAAUUUUGACUGCCUUUCAUUUUGUCUCAGCAGCAAUCUGAUCUCACUAACUGGUUAGCAUGCAACAAUAACUUUUAACUGUACUCUGUACAUGUCACAAUAAACUAAACAUCAGUAGUCCUGAGGUGUUAAUUUGAUUUGGUAUGCAUUGAAUUUGAUGCUCUGUUCUGAAGUUGUUAUUCAUAGUGUAUACUUAAUCAGUUGCUUGAAGUAUUUUAAAAUGGUACAUUUAUUUGCAAAAGUGACUUCAACAUUUUCAAAACGAGUUCAUUUGUAAACUGAAUGAUAACUGCUUAUAAUAAAAUUAUGGUUAUUUUGUGUA